rnacentral:antisense_RNA from 1 species
UUUUAUGGUGGCCGUGCGCAGGGCACUUUCAAGUGCGCCGGUUUCCAAGUUUGCCGGUCUACUAACCUGCGUACGGCUGCCUCCCCC